rnacentral:rRNA from 1 species
GUGAGGAAUAUUGGACAAUGGGCGCAAGCCUGAUCCAGCCAUGCCGCGUGCAGGAAGACGCAUCUAUGGUGUGUAAACUGCUUUUGUACGGGAAGAAACACUCCCUCGUGAGGGAGCUUGACGGUACCGUAAGAAUAAGGAUCGGCUAACUCCGUGCCAGCAGCCGCGGUAAUACGGAGGAUCCAAGCGUUAUCCGGAAUCAUUGGGUUUAAAGGGUACGUAGGCGGUUUAAUAAGUCAGUGGUGAAAGACCAUCGCUCAACGAUGGAACGGCCAUUGAUACUGUUAGACUUGAAUUACAAGGAAGUAACUAGAAUAUGUAGUGUAGCGGUGAAAUGCUUAGAUAUUACAUGGAAUACCAAUUGCGAAGGCAGGUUACUACUUGUGGAUUGACGCUGAUGGACGAAAGCGUGGGGAGCGAACAGGAUUAGAAACCCCAGUAGUCC